rnacentral:rRNA from 1 species
CAGCAGUCGCCGCGGGAACACGUAGGUGGCGAGCGUUGUCCGGAUUUAUUGGGCGUAAAGGGAGUGUAGGCGGUCUUUUAAGUCUGAUGUGAAAGCCCACGGCUCAACCGUGGAGGGUCAUUGGAAACUGGGAGACUUGAGUGCAGAAGAGGAGAGCGGAAUUCCAUGUGUAGCGGUGAAAUGCGUAGAUAUAUGGAGGAACACCAGUGGCGAAGGCGGCUCUCUGGUCCAUUACUGACGCUGAGGUGCGAAAGCGUGGGGAGCAAACAGGAUUAGAUACCCCCGUAGUCCCUGUCUCUUAUAC